rnacentral:rRNA from 1 species
ACAUUUACAACCGAUGAUGCUCAAACGGUGAUCAGUCACAUGAUGGCGCGGCGAGAGCGGGAUCAGAUUUUUUUGAAGUACUUGCUUGAUGAAUUUGGCCAUCUAAAGGGACUGUUCUGGUCUGAUAGUCAAUCCUAACUUGACUACGAGGCUUUCAGAGACAUUAUUGUUUUUGAUAGAACAUACAGAACAUAUAAGUACAAUACGCCAUUUGUGCCGUUUGUCAGGUUGAAUCACCACCGUAACACUAUUAUUUUUGGAUGUGGUGUCAUUUCUCAUGAAACAAGCCAGGAAUACAAGUGGAUGUUGCGGGGCUUUUCUGAUGCCAUGGGACAGAAGAAUCCGAUAUAUGUGAUCACGGACAGAGACCUUGCAGUGCAGAGAGCAAUCAGGGUGGUUUGGCCUGACUCAAACCCCAGGUUGUGUAUAUGGCACAUUCAGUAGAACAUUGUACGUCAUCUGCAUGAUUCGGCGGUAAAGGAGGAACUCAAAUCUUUCAUAUAUGAUUAAUUUUCCAUUGAAUAGCAUGAGAGAAAAUGGAUAAAUUUGUUACAACAGAAUAAAGUAACCAGCAAGGAGUCCUAGCUGCAUGAGAUGUAUCGGAGGAGAAAGUUGUGGUGUUCUCCAUAUCUUGAAGGGUCUUGUUUCCUAGGUUUGAGCAGUAAUCAGCGGAGUGAGAGCUUGAACUCUGUGCUACAUACGUAUCUUGAGGGUAAAAUUACGUUGUUUCAAAUACCAGAGCACUAUGAGUGUUGCCUUGCGUUGUGACACUUGAACGAGGCUCUCUAAGACAUCGAGGCCUUUAAGUCAGUUCCAUUUACAGAGGAAAAUGCUUCAAUUAUUGAGAAUCAUGUCGCAAAAGUUUUCACUCCUACUUUUAAGUUGGUCUUAUAGAGCAUAAAUGUUGUCAACAAAUGAAUGAUCAGAGAGGUACUAGAUGCAUCAGAUGUUACCACCUAUGUUGUGUCUAAGAAGAAAAGAAUGGAUAAAUUGUUCAAAGUGCACAGUGAGGAGCAGGAAUGUCUUUUGCACCGGAUUAGUUGUUCUUGCCGUAAGGUGGAAUGUGCAGGCAUACCAUGUCCCAACAUUUUGAUAUUGGGAGUUUUACAAGACGAAAGACUGCCCAGGUGUUGUGUUCCUACUAGGUGGACAAUGAGUGCAAAAUCUACAUACGCACCGACUAGAAAGAGUGAGAUGUAUGACUAUUCGGCAAGCCUGCAAAGGUACCGUUUGUGGAAUUUUAGUCAUGCGACAUGUUUCAAGGCAUGCCACUCUGAUGAGGCGUAUUAGCGUCUAAAGAUGGUUUUGGAUGCACAAGAUGAUAUCAAGGAAUCACCUAUUGAAUAA